GUCACGGGACGAGGCCAAGGCCACCAGGGCCACCAGCAGGAAGAUGAGGGUGCCACUGACGGCCCGGAGCAGGUCCUGGGACACGGGGACAGCGGGAGGUGACAAUGGGGACAUGGGGACCCCACGGGGACACUGGGGACACCUUGGGGACAAUGGGGACACGGGGGACAGCAGGGGGACACUGGGGACACUGGGACAGCAGGGGGACACGGGGGACACCUUGGGGACAAUGGGGGACACCAGGGGGACACGGGGAUGGUGACAGUGGGGACACCCUGGGGGACACCUUGGGAAUACUGUGGGAACAUGGGUGGUGACACUGGGGACACCUUGGGGACAUGUGGGACAAGAUGGGGGGACACAAGGUGAGGGAAGGGGAACAUAAGGACAAGGAUGGGCGUCCCCAGGUGGCCCAGGUGUGUCCCAGGUGUGUCCCCAGCUGUCCCCAGGUGUGUCCCAGGUGUGUCCCCAUGUCCCAGGUGUGUCCCAGGUGUGUCCCCAGGUGUGUCCCAGGUGUCCCCAGCUGUCCCCAGGUGUGUCCCCAGGUGUGGGGGGGGGGGGGGGGGGGGGGGGGGGGGGGGGGGGGGGGGGGGGGGGGGGGGGGGGGGGGGGGGGGGGGGGGGGGGGGGGGGGGGGGGGGGGGG
rnacentral:lncRNA from 12 species